ensembl:lncRNA
CAACUAAUAUAUACUGAGUACAAACCAUGUGUCACUUUACAUAUAUUAAUUUACUUAAUUCUCACAAUAGUCCUUGGAGGUAGGCAUUAUUAUUAUUGGCCCAUUUUAGAGAUGAAGGACCUGCGGUGUACAGAGGUUGCUGUGAAGUGUUUGUUCUUUUUUACAUCAAAGUGGUCUGCAGAGUGAAAGCCAUUCUGCUGCAAUGGUUGAAAGCCUGAGCUCCAGUGAGCUUGGACUCUGGAAUCUGUCACAUUCCCAGACGGACGUUUGCUCUUAUUGCCCACGCUGGAAUGCAAUGGUACAAUCUCAGCUCACUGCAACCUCCCCUUCCUGGGUUCAAGCAAUUCUCUUGUCUCAGCCUCCCGAGUAGCUGGGAUUACAGGUGAGCACCACCACAUCCGGCUAAUUUUUGUAUUUUUAGUAGAAAUGGGGUUUCACUGUGUUCACCAGGCUGGUCUCUGGUGAUCCGCCACCUUGACCUCCCAAAGUACUGGGAUUACAGGCGUAAGCCACCCCUCCAGGCCACAAGGGGUUAUUAUUAUGCGGUAGUGUCUCCUGCCAUUUUCUUCCAUUCUCUUCCCUUCCUGCUGAAAUUCUGCUUUUCUGUAGGAAACAGAGCUAACUUAAAAGACACAUACAUUCUUCUUUUCUAAUAUAUUUUAAUGAGUCCACAUUUUCUUAGAAGCUUUCUGGAGACCAUCUGUAUCUUCAUUCACAGGAGUGCCUCUACUCUGGACAUCUGGGUACUUUGGAGAGCUGGAAGCAUCAGGACUGUGCAAUGACAGAAUCUGUGUUUUCUACCACACCUUACCCGUGGAUAGUCCUAACAUUUAAAAAGUGAAUAAACAACAUGAAAUUAACAAGGAAGGAGAAAACAACUCCUAGCCCUAUUUCCUCAGCAAUUCAAUUUUAUUUCCCUUUUGUUUUCCCUACAAGUAUAUAGAAUUAGAUAGCUGCAAUCAAAAUAUUGAAUAUUUUCCUUCUAUUUAUAGAAUUCUCCCAUUACUGCAUCAUCUUCAUUAUAAUUUAAAACAUGCAUUUAAGUGAUGCAUCCACCUGAACGCAUGUUUGAAAUUGUAAUGGUAAUUUACUUAGCCAUCACUGUUAUUUAUGUUGCUUGUAAUUUUAAAAAUUAUUCGUAGUUCAGUCUGCAAAGAUGCACAGAGCUCUUCAUGCACCUGCUUUAUUUUAUCUUCCAUUGAGAUCCAUUAAUAUUUUCAGCCAGUGUCACUUUUAGGGUUAGGAUGUUUCCUACCUUCGCUGUGAGCUGUGGGAAGUGGCAUGACUUUAUCUCUAGAAUUGUUCUUUGAGUGUCAAGAGUAGCUUGGUCCUGUUACUUUAGGCUGGGAGGGGAGUGCGUUUGGGUAGGUUGAAAUCCAAAGCUCAAUGUUGCCUUCAAGUGAGAACUUGCAGGAACUGCAGCUCUGGGAGAUGGGUCUCUGCCUUGGCUGGGGCACUUUGGUUUGGGUGUAGGGUUGAGAUCUUAAGGAGACACUAAUCUGGUUCAGAGAUGGACCUGGGGGCAAUUAGAUGACAAUCACCAGACAGCAGACUUUCUCAAUUCAGUUUUUAUUCUAUUCCAUUUUACAAUUUCCAUCCCAGAAGAAGAGGAAGAAGAGGGAGAGGAAGAAUGAAGACAGCCACCAUGAAUUAAAUGCCUACUAUAGGCGUCUUUUUGCUAAGUGAUUUACAUACAUCAAUGCUAAAUUUUAUGAUAAUGUUUUUAUACCUGCUGUUUUACAAAUGAGAAAACUGAGACUCGAGAGGUCAAGUUAUUUGCC